AGAGUUUGAUCCUGGCUCAGGAUUAACGCUAGCGGCAGGCCUAAUACAUGCAAGUCGAGGGGCAGCGCGGGUAGCAAUACCUGGCGGCGACCGGCGUACGGGUGCGUAACACGUAUGCAACCUACCUUUGACUGGGGCAUAGCCCCGAGAAAUCGGGAUUAAUACCCCAUAACAUUGCGAUGAGGCAUCUCAUUGCAAUUAAAGCUCCGGCGGCCUUAGAUGGGCAUGCGCGACAUUAGCUUGUUGGUGAGGUAACGGCUCACCAAGGCUCCGAUGUCUAGGGGUUCUGAGAGGAUUAUCCCCCACACUGGUACUGAGACACGGACCAGACUCCUACGGGAGGCAGCAGUAAGGAAUAUUGGGCAAUGGGCGCAAGCCUGACCCAGCCAUGCCGCGUGCAGGAUCGACGGCCCUAUGGGUUGUAAACUGCUUUUGUACGGGAAAAAACCCCCGGUCGUGUACCGGGGCUGAUGUUACCGUAAGAAUAAGCAUCGGCUAACUCCGUGCCAGCAGCCGCGGUAAAUACGGAGGAUGCAAGCGUUAUCCGGAUUUAUUGGGUUUAAAGGGUGCGCAGGCGGAACGGUAAGUCAGUGGUGAAAGCCUACAGCUCAACUGUAGAAUUGCCAUUGAUACUGUCGUUCUUGAGUAUAGUUGGAGUGUGCGGAAUGUAUCAUGUAGCGGUGAAAUGCAUAGAUAUGAUACAGAACACCAAUCGCGAAGGCAGCUCACUAAACUAUAACUGACGCUCAGGCACGAAAGCGUGGGGAUCAAACAGGAUUAGAGACCCUGGUAGUCCACGCCCUAAACUAUGAUCACUCGAUGUUGGCGAUAUACAGUCAGCGUCUGAGCGAAAGCAUUAAGUGAUCCACCUGGGGAGUACGAUCGCAAGGUUGAAACUCAAAGGAAUUGACGGGGGCCCGCACAAGCGGAGGAGCAUGUGGUUUAAUUCGAUGAUACGCGAGGAACCUUACCUGGGCUUAAAUGGGAGACGGCCGCUGCCGAAAGGUGGCUUCCCUUCGGGGCGUCUUUCAAGGUGCUGCAUGGCUGUCGUCAGCUCGUGCCGUGAGGUGUCGGGUUAAGUCCCAUAACGAGCGCAACCCCUAUCAUUAGUUGCCAUCAGGUAAUGCUGGGAACUCUAACGAAACUGCCUACGCAAGUAGUGAGGAAGGUGGGGAUGACGUCAAGUCAGCACGGCCCUUACGUCCAGGGCUACACACGUGCUACAAUGGCCGGUACAGAGGGCUGCUACCUGGUGACAGGAUGCUAAUCUCAAAAACCGGUCUCAGUUCGGAUCGAAGUCUGCAACUCGACUUCGUGAAGUUGGAUUCGCUAGUAAUCGCGCAUCAGCAAUGGCGCGGUGAAUACGUUCCCGGGCCUUGUACACACCGCCCGUCAAGCCAUGGGAGUUGGGGGUACCUGAAGUCGAUAACCGCAAGGAGUCGCCUAGGGUAAAAUCAAUGACUGGGGCUAAGUCGGAACAAGGUA
rnacentral:rRNA from 1 species